rnacentral:rRNA from 1 species
GUGACAGCCGCCGCGGUAAUACGGAGGGGGCUAGCGUUGUUCGGAAUUACUGGGCGUAAAGCGCACGUAGGCGGAUAGUUAAGUUAGAGGUGAAAGCCCAGGGCUCAACCCUGGAACUGCCUUUAAUACUGGCUGUCUAGAGAUCGAGAGAGGUGAAUGGAAUUCCGAGUGUAGAGGUCAAAUUCGUAGAUAUUCGGAGGAACACCAGUGGCGAAGGCGGCUCACUGGCUCGAUACUGACGCUGAGGUGCGAAAGCGUGGGGAGCAAACAGGAUUAGAUACCCUUGUAGUCC